rnacentral:rRNA from 1 species
GGAUUCCCCUAGUAACUGCGAGUGAAGCGGGAAAAGCUCAAAUUUAAAAUCUGGCGGUCUUUGCCGUCCGAGUUGUAGUCUGGAGAAGUGCUUUCCGCGCUGGACCGUGUAUAAGUCUCUUGGAACAGAGCGUCAUAGAGGGUGAGAAUCCCGUCUUUGACACGGACUACCAGUGCUUUGUGAUGCGCUCUCAAAGAGUCGAGUUGUUUGGGAAUGCAGCUCAAAAUGGGUGGUGAAUUCCAUCUAAAGCUAAAUAUUGGCGAGAGACCGAUAGCGAACAAGUACCGUGAGGGAAAGAUGAAAAGCACUUUGGAAAGAGAGUUAAACAGUACGUGAAAUUGCUGAAAGGGAAACGCUUGAAGUCAGUCGCGUUNUCCGGAACUCAGCCUUGCUUUUGCUUGGUGCACUUUCCGGAUGACGGGUCAGCAUCGNUUUUGACCGUCGGAAAAGGGCUGGAGUAAUGUGGCACCUUCGGGUGUGUUAUAGACUCUGGUCGCAUACGGCGGUUGGGAUCGAGGAACGCAGCGCGCCGCAAGGCAGGGGUUCGCCCACUUUCGCGCUUAGGAUGCUGGCAUAAUGGCUUUAAACGACCNGUCUUGAAACACGGACCAAGGAGUCUAACAUACCUGCGAGUGUUUGGGUGGAAAACCCGAGCGCGCAAUGAAAGUGAAAGUUGAGAUCCCUGUCGUGGGGAGCAUCGACGCCCGGACCAGAC